GGCUUCCAUUUGUGUCGAGCAUUCCCAUUCCUGCAGGCUUUUCACAAUCGAACUCUUUUUCCAUGAUCGGGCUGUGGCCUGUCUGUGUCGUGGUAGGGCUAUCGGGUGUGUAGUCUUCUCCAGCAACCCCCAUAUUUGCUCUGGAAGGAAAGAUAUCUUUCGAUAUUCCCUCUGCAAGAAAUCAUAUACGGCAACCAAAUAUCAAGAAUCCUAGGGAUUGGUGCGCAGAGAGAUUUGUCAAUUAACUAAUAACUAUAGACAGGAUGUUUAUGAGGAUAGUGUGGAUAUGCCAAUAUCAACGAACAGGAAAUAUGAAGCCCAAAAAAGCAGCUUUCUGCUUUUUCGUUUUUUUUAAUGAGCCCACGGCCAUCAACGGCUUUUGAAGAAUACUUCUCAACAGAAAUAUCUGAACAUCAAGAGAAACAACUUAUGACACACAACCCCUGUCCCGCUAAAGGCAUAACAGGGAUGUCAGAUAUAUCACGAUAAAAAAACUUCGAAAGACUAACCGCAGGUAUGGUCGAUAAUAUUUUGGUCAAAGAGGCGAAAAAAGUCGCACAUACACAUUGGGGGCGAAGGGGGUUCCCACCUCGGCAGACAUCUUGAGAAUUCUAGAUGCUUUUGCUUAUUGAUCUAAUGUGCUCGGGAACUCGGUUUCCGGAAUGCACCAGUGUAAAUACGAUGCUAACAAAACCUACGAGUAGGAGCUAAGCCAGAGUGUUGGUCAACACGAUUCAAACUUCAUGGCUUAUCCCCAUACUCCUGAUGAUUCGAGAAAGGAACCAAGCCUCCUUGAAGCUUAACCCGGCCAGCUAUCUUAUUAUCAAUCAGAUAAUCUCAUCUGCUUCCAAGU
rnacentral:sRNA from 1 species